GGUAAUAAGACAAAUUUACUCACCAACUUUAUUUUCUUAAAAAUCAUUAUAAAUAAUAUGUAUACAAUGCUUGUGGUGCAAAUCAUUUUACACAACAAAUUACGGUAAAUAUCAAUAAUA